rnacentral:rRNA from 1 species
CCCGAUGGAGGGGGAUAACUACUGGAAACGGUAUCUAAUACCGCAUAACGUCUUCCGACCAAAGUGGGGGACCUUCGGGCCUCACACCAUCUGAUGUGCCCAGAUGGGAUUAGCUUGUAGGUGGGGUAAUGGCUCACCUAGGCGACGAUCCCUAGCUGGUCUGAGAGGAUGACCAGCCACACUGGAACUGAGACACGGUCCAUACUCCUACGGGAGGCAGCAGUGGGGAAUAUUGCACAAUGGGCGCAAGCCUGAUGCAGCCAUGCCGCGUGUAUGAAGAAGGCCUUCGGGUUGUAAAGUACUUUCAGCGGGGAGGAAGGCGAUGAUGUUAAUAACCUUAUCGAUUGACGUUACCCGCAGAAGAAGCACCGGCUAACUCCGUGCCAGCAGCCGCGGUAAU